GUACACUAAUGACCACUAGAUGGCAGUAAGAAUCCGCAUUUUUGGCAUACAGUCCAGGUCUGCGCAUGGAAGGUUACUCAUCGAAAUACCAUGGCUGGCAGAGUGACUACAUCAUUGCUGGGUCCUUGAACAUGGUGCAUAACCCUGAAGGCUGCUGUACAGAUAGCUGUCGCUGCUCUGUUCCCAGGUCCUGUCCUCUCCGGUGGGUCCUGUGCUGCAGGCUGGUGGAGUGAUACCAGCAGGUGAUGGAAAAGCAAG